UGGGGAAUCUUGCGCAAUGGGCGAAAGCCUGACGCAGCAACGCCGCGUGCGGGAAGAAGGCCUUCGGGUUGUAAACCGCUGUCAGGAGGGACGAAGCCACUCGGGUGAAUAGCCCAGAGGGUGACGGUACCUCCAGAGGAAGCCCCGGCUAACUACGUGCCAGCAGCCGCGGUAAUACGUAGGGGGCGAGCGUUGUCCGGAAUCAUUGGGCGUAAAGCGCGUGUAGGCGGCUUGUCAAGUCCGGUGUGAAAUCUCGGGGCUCAACCCCGAAACUGCAUUGGAAACUGGCUUGCUAGAGUCCGGAAGAGGAGAUUGGAAUUCCUGGUGUAGCGGUGAAAUGCGCAGAUAUCAGGAAGAACACCCGUGGCGAAGGCGGAUCUCUGGGACGGUACUGACGCUGAGACGCGAAAGCGUGGGGAGCGAACA
rnacentral:rRNA from 1 species